AUCAGUGGCGAACGGGUGAGUAACACGUGGGCAACCUGCCCCUGACUCUGGGAUAACUACUCGAAAGAGUAGCUAAUACCGGAUAUGAAACCUGAAGACAUCUUCGGGUUUGGAAAGUUUUUCGGUCAGGGAUGGGCUCGCGGCCUAUCAGCUAGUUGGUGAGGUAGUGGCUCACCAAGGCGACGACGGGUAGCCGGCCUGAGAGGGCGACCGGCCACACUGGGACUGAGACACGGCCCAGACUCC
rnacentral:rRNA from 1 species